CCUACGGGUGGCUGCAGUGGGGAAUAUUGGACAAUGGGGGGAACCCUGAUCCAGCCAUGCCGCGUGUGUGAAGAAGGCCCUCGGGUUGUAAAGCACUUUCAGUGAGGAAGAACGCCUGGUGGUUAAUACCCAUCAGGAAAGACAUCACUCACAGAAGAAGCACCGGCUAACUCCGUGCCAGCAGCCGCGGUAAUACGGAGGGUGCGAGCGUUAAUCAGAAUUACUGGGCGUAAAGCGCGCGUAGGUGGCUUGAUAAGCCGGUUGUGAAAGCCCCGGGCUCAACCUGGGAACGGCAUCCGGAACUGUCAAGCUAGAGUGCAGGAGAGGAAGGUAGAAUUCCCGGUGUAGCGGUGAAAUGCGUAGAGAUCGGGAGGAAUACCAGUGGCGAAGGCGGCCUUCUGGACUGACACUGACACUGAGGUGCGAAAGCGUGGGUAGCAAACAGGAUUAGAUACCCGAGUAGUC
rnacentral:rRNA from 1 species